rnacentral:rRNA from 1 species
AACGCGAAGAACCUUACCAGGAUUUGACAUGCCCCUCGCGGACACUUGAAAGAGAGUCCUUCAGUUCGGCUGGAGGGAGCACAGGUGCUGCAUGGCUGUCGUCAGCUCGUGUCGUGAGAUGUUGGGUUAAGUCCCGCAACGAGCGCAACCCUCGUCCUCUGUUGCUAACAGGUUAGGCUGAGCACUCUGAGGAAACUGCCGGUGAUAAGCCGGAGGAAGGUGGGGAUGACGUCAAGUCCUCAUGGCCCUUACAUCCUGGGCUACACACGUGUUACAAUGGCGGUGACAAUGGGCUGCGAACCCGCAAGGGGGAGCGAAUCUCAAAAAGCCGCCUCAGUUCGGAUUGUACUCUGCAACUCGAGUACAUGAAGCUGGAAUCGCUAGUAAUCGCGGAUCAGCACGCCGCGGUGAAUACGUUCCCGGGCCUUGUACACACCGCAUAC